rnacentral:rRNA from 1 species
UGGGGGAAUUUUGGACAAUGGGCGAAAGCCUGAUCCAGCAAUGCCGCGUGUGUGAAGAAGGCCUUCGGGUUGUAAAGCACUUUUGUCCGGAAAGAAAUCCUUGGCUCUAAUACAGUCGGGGGAUGACGGUACCGGAAGAAUAAGCACCGGCUAACUACGUGCCAGCAGCCGCGGUAAUACGUAGGGUGCAAGCGUUAAUCGGAAUUACUGGGCGUAAAGCGUGCGCAGGCGGUUUGCUAAGACCGAUGUGAAAUCCCCGGGCUCAACCUGGGAACUGCAUUGGUGACUGGCAGGCUAGAGUAUGGCAGAGGGGGGUAGAAUUCCACGUGUAGCAGUGAAAUGCGUAGAGAUGUGGAGGAAUACCGAUGGCGAAGGCAGCCCCCUGGGCCAAUACUGACGCUCAUGCACGAAAGCGUGGGGAGCAAACAGGAUUAGAUACCCUGGUAGUCCACGCCCUAAACGAUGUCAACUAGUUGUUGGGGAUUCAUUUCCUUAGUAACGUAGCUAACGCGUGAAGUUGACCGCCU